CUCCUGACUUCUAACAGACGGUAAAAAUACGAAAUAGGAUUUCGGACAUUUCCUCUGCUACGGAAACAAAGCUUGCAUCAGAUCUAAGGGGAGACACACAACAAUAAAACACGCAAAACAAGUGUGAUUCAUCCUUCUUCCUUUAUUUCAUUUUUCCAUGAUCAUUUUUUUUUCUCAAGUAAACAUUUGGCAAGAGAUAACGCCGAUCGCGUCCGACGCAGAUCGAACCAAAUCGAGGUAUGCGUUUUCUCGCUCGCUCGUUCAUUUCCUAAUAGAAAUAUUCUGCUGUUAGAGAAUCGCUGUUUUCUGUUUGGUUCCCUCUUUUCUCAUUUGAGUUGAUGGGUAGUGAGCAUGCGGUUAGAUUUUCGUGUUUCUUUAUUUGAAUUAGAAAUUUGUUGUUGCUGGGGAAAUGUGGGAGUAUAGAGUUAAUCGAUGUUUUCGGUUCAGUGAAACUUUUAACUGAUAAGAGUUUAAUAUUAGUGGUAUUAGAGGAUUUCCAGAUUUUCUUGUAGCAGCGCGGUAGCUUAGUUUCUGCGACGUACGAAACCAAUUUUCUCACAAAGUUAAACUAUAUAUAUGCUUCUCUCUCUAUCUCUAUAUAUAUAUACACACACACACACACACACCCAGAAUUAGCAUGUAAUAAUGGUUAUGGUGGUUUUAGAUGAUAAUUAUUAUUUUUUGCUGGUUUAAUUUUGGGCAUGGUUAGUAGGUAGGAUCUAAUGGUUGCUGAGACUUUUUGGCGGUGGUGUUGAUCUUUGGGGAAGUCUCAGUAGCUUUAAAAACUGAGCGGACUGGAUGGACAAGAACAGGGGCCGAAACGAUUUGCUUGCUGCUGGGCGUAAAAAGGUUCUUCAUCUGUUUUCUUCUAUUAUGAUUAUGCUCUAUACUUUCUAUUAGGUUGCUGAGAGACAGAAGGGAAUGAGUUCGAUUCCUAUGUUUAAAUGACAAGGAUAAUUUGUUAAUUGCCUAUGUUAAUUGACAUGAGUGAGCUGUUUAUGUUAUUUGUGCCUUUAUGAGUUUUAAUUGAGUUUGGUUACUGAACUACCAAAAGAAGCAUAAGGUUUCAAUCCCCCCUCCCCGUCUCUUCCUUCCUUUUUACUGCACAAUGCUUUGUGUUGUGAUGCGCUAACAAGAAGAAAUAUUUGANNNNNNNNNNNNNNNNNNNN
rnacentral:lncRNA from 1 species